UACGAAGGGGGCUAGCGUUGUUCGGAAUUACUGGGCGUAAAGCGCACGUAGGCGGACUGUUAAGUCGGGGGUGAAAGCCCAGAGCUCAACUCUGGAAUUGCCUUCGAUACUGGCAGUCUUGAGGACGGGAGAGGUGAGUGGAAUUCCUAGUGUAGAGGUGAAAUUCGUAGAUAUUAGGAAGAACACCAGUGGCGAAGGCGGCUCACUGGCCCGUAUCUGACGCUGAGGUGCGAAAGCGUGGGGAGCAAACGGG
rnacentral:rRNA from 1 species